UGCAGUCGACGGUGAAGCCAAGCUUGCUUGGUGGAUCAGUGGCGAACGGGUGAGUAACACGUGAGCAACCUGCCCUGGACUCUGGGAUAAGCGCUGGAAACGGCGUCUAAUACUGGAUAUGAGCUCCUUCCGCAUGGUGGGGGUUGGAAAGAUUUUUCGGUCUGGGAUGGGCUCGCGGCCUAUCAGCUUGUUGGUGAGGUAAUGGCUCACCAAGGCGUCGACGGGUAGCCGGCCUGAGAGGGUGACCGGCCACACUGGGACUGAGACACGGCCCAGACUCCUACGGGAGGCAGCAGUGGGGAAUAUUGCACAAUGGGCGGAAGCCUGAUGCAGCAACGCCGCGUGAGGGAUGACGGCCUUCGGGUUGUAAACCUCUUUUAGCAGGGAAGAAGCGAGAGUGACGGUACCUGCAGAAAAAGCGCCGGCUAACUACGUGCCAGCAGCCGCGGUAAUACGUAGGGCGCAAGCGUUAUCCGGAAUUAUUGGGCGUAAAGAGCUCGUAGGCGGUUUGUCGCGUCUGCUGUGAAAUCCCGAGGCUCAACCUCGGGCCUGCAGUGGGUACGGGCAGACUAGAGUGCGGUAGGGGAGAUUGGAAUUCCUGGUGUAGCGGUGGAAUGCGCAGAUAUCAGGAGGAACACCGAUGGCGAAGGCAGAUCUCUGGGCCGUAACUGACGCUGAGGAGCGAAAGGGUGGGGAGCAAACAGGCUUAGAUACCCUGGUAGUCCACCCCGUAAACGUUGGGAACUAGUUGUGGGGACCAUUCCACGGUUUCCGUGACGCAGCUAACGCAUUAAGUUCCCCGCCUGGGGAGUACGGCCGCAAGGCUAAAACUCAAAGGAAUUGACGGGGACCCGCACAAGCGGCGGAGCAUGCGGAUUAAUUCGAUGCAACGCGAAGAACCUUACCAAGGCUUGACAUACACCAGAACACC
rnacentral:rRNA from 1 species